rnacentral:rRNA from 1 species
AUUGAACGCUGGCGGAAUGCUUUACACAUGCAAGUCGAACGGCAGCGGACCUUCGGGUGCCGGCGAGUGGCGAACGGGUGAGUAAUAUAUCGGAACGUACCUUUCAGUGGGGGAUAACGGUAGCGAAAGUUACGCUAAUACCGCAUAUUCUGUGAGCAGGAAAGCAGGGGAUCGCAAGACCUUGCGCUGAUUGAGCGGCCGAUAUCAGGAUUAGCUAGUUGGUGAGGUAAGGCUCACCAAGGCGACGAUCUGUAGCGGGUCUGAGAGGAUGAUCCGCCACACUGGAACUGAGACACGGUCCAGACUCCUACGGGAGGCAGCAGUGGGGAAUUUUGGACAAUGGGCGCAAGCCUGAUCCAGCCAUGCCGCGUGAGUG